AUAACAAAUGGUCUAAAUGGAGUAGCUGGACAAACUGCAGCUCUAAAUGUGGCGGAGGUCUUCGGUACCGCAAACGUAACUGUCUUUCUUCUCACCCAGAGGUGUUGGCUUAUUGUAAAGGACCCCAAAUGGAAGUGAUGCAUUGCAAUAUGCAACCGUGUCAUGGUAAUUUAACCUUCUAUGACAGCUUGACAAUUUUGCACAGAGAGAGAGAGAGAGAGAGAGAGAGAGAGAGUAACUUUUCAAUGAUUUAAUGAGAUUUAUAACUUUGGAUAAUUUCUUACAAAUUCAUCACUUUCUCCUCUUUACAAGAGAAUCAUUAAAUAUAACAUAACGUAAUAUAUUAUAAUACAAUAUAAUACACUAUAAUGUAAUAUAAUAUAAUAGAAUAUAACAACACAAUAGAAUACUGAAUAUAAAAUGGCACUAAUAUUAACCUUUUGAUUCCAACCCACCUGAGACUGUCUUUGGUUCUAUGAUAUAUAAAAUUUCUCUUUUAAAGUGAUCCAAAUUAAAGCCUGUUAAAAUCUCACGUUAAUCAUGUUCCAAACACCUGCUUGAUUAUGACAUUAGUCAUUUUACUAAAUUCUUCAUUAUUUUCAAAAUCAUUUGAGGUAAAGGCAGUGGAUUUCUGGAGAGACAUGGAAAUGAAAAGGUUAAAGCAUACAAGCAACUAUUUUAUUUUAUGAAUAAAUUUGUCUUUUGGUGAAGGAACAUAUUAUAGAAUAAAUUGUAUUUGAUAAGAUGAGAUUCAUUGAAACCUGUAAUAUUUUCUUUAUAUAAUUUUCUAAUUAAUUUUUUAUUAAAUUCCCUCUUAAACUGAAAUGUCUUAGACUUGCUUCUGUGCUAUUUCCACCUCCAUCUUUUAUAUAUAAAAAUUUGAUUUGUAUAGAUCUCUAAGCUUUUUUCAACUAUAUAUAUAUAUAUAUAUAUAUAUAUAUAUAUAUAUAUAUAUAUACUAGCUGGUGUACCUGGUAAUUCCUGGGGGUAAAGAUGUUCUAUUGAAAUGCUUUAUAACUCUAAGAAAGCAAUUUCAUUAUAACUUCCACAAAAGGUGUAUUUUCCAUCAUGAAAAAAAUAUUAAAAAAACUGUCAGCUGGAGGAGGGAGAGAUUGCUGGAGGUUGGCAACUCUCAUGCCAUUGCAUAAUUUUAGGGGAUCGAGGUUUCUUAAAAGCAUAACUGGGGCUCCAACCUUUAGAUGCAAUUCAUGCAGUGGUAGACCUGAAGGUGCAAGGCUAUUGAAGAAUUCAACGGGGUAAUGAACAGCAUCAUUGGUGUGGAGUACAAUAUCAAUUGACAUGUAUGUGCGACGAUUGUCAAGCAGUUGUUCCAGAAGGUGAUUGUUUAUGCCAUCGACUGCAACAUUUUUUGGCACCAAAAUUGCAGUUUUCUCAGUUUUCUCAGCCAACAGUGGUCUGUGAAUUGUGUGUUCAGAUUGGGGAAAACUCUCACCAAUAGUUCGUGUAUAUUUGACACCAAAUUGCCAAAGGGUAAACUAAUCUUCCCCUUCUGCUCAAUAAUUACAGAACCAGUUCCAAUAUCCAUUAAUUGCCUGCAGAAGUUCUGCAUGUGUGCAUCACCACCUAACUGCACUCUCAUGUUUGUUGUGAGUUUCAACUUUCUAACCUUGCCCCAAAGGUAUGAAGAUUUGAGGCUCACACUUACCUCAUCUGCUCUCGUCCCCUUUCGAAUGACUGUGAGUGUUUGUCGAAAGUCUCCUGCAAGGAGUACUGUUAGGCCACCAAUUAGUCUUGAGUUGCACCUCGGAUCUUGAAGUAAUCUGUCAAAAGCCCCCUUAUGACUCAUUGUUGCUUCAUCCCAAAUGAUCAAUUUGCACUCAGUGGAUGACUUUGAGAUCAGGCAGCUCAUCCAUCCUCCCCUGAGCGCAUUUCAAGCUAUUCACAUAGGUAUGAGUUGAAUGAAGCAUUGUCUGUAAUUUUUGCAAUCAGACGUUUGUCAACACCUUCAUUCAGCCUGCACCAUUGGUCAACUUCCUCAUCGUCACCUCCCAUAAAAUACACCUGGACAAAUUUCAGCUCAGCAUCUGGUAAAGCUCUUAGGCUUCCCACUUAAUUAUAGCAUUGACACCUGAUUUUGAUAUCAGAAAAAAAAUAAAAGAAAGAAAAUGGAGAAAUUGAUUUAUAAAUACUGAUUUAUUGAAACAAAUCUAGUUUUGAACAAUAUCAAACUCAUAGAAGCUGCAAUUGUUCCCAUGUACAAUUAAUUAAUUCAAAUAAUUAAUAAUCCUCUGAAUAACCCUAAACUUUAACUUUAUACAACAUAGCAAUAUUGUUUACAAUAUUUAACUAUAGUACUACAUGAUAAGAUUUCCCCUAUUUCAUUAUCAAUGGCCUGCUAGUGGCCAACCCCUUUAAUUGUCAGUUAACAUCUUGAUUUAGGUUUUUCCUUUACCAAAUCUCAUGAUAUUUCUUCUAAUAAAUCUUGAUUUUUUUAUGACUAUACCCACUAUGAUUUCUGUCUACUCCCACAGCCCUACCCCAAACAGACACUGUCCCUUGUUCUCUCGGCUUUAGAUAUACAAGGAUUUGAUAAAACUAGUCUAUAAAUUAAAACUGACCCCAUAAAAAACAGUGACAAGCAAAAUCUGUAACAAGUCUCUCUUCCUGAUACCUUAGUAGCUUCUAAGCUGAAGUGAAGGCAGCAUGUUCUUUGUCUAUCUCCAUAACUUCUUGGAGAUUUUAAGUAAAAUUAUACUAAUGUGUCCAUCUGUUUUAAUUUAAUUAAAUUCUGUGUCUUUGUGCAACUGAGGAUUGCUCUGUAUUUAAAUUGAUGAAAUGGUUGCAUUGUUCAAUUAAAUGAAGUUGCGUGAAAUGAUUGUACUGCAUUACCUCUGGAUAUUCUUGUUGCUUAUUUAGAUUUAUGUGUAUAUAUAUGUAUAUAUAUAUAAGCAUGUAUAUAUAUAUAUAUAUAUAUAUAUAUAUAUAUACUUGGAAAUGGAUGUAUGCCAUUCAUUCAUACAGUAAUAUAAAUAAAAUAUAUAUAUAGGCAUAUAUACAUACAUAUAUGUAUAUAUAUAUAUAUAUAUAUAUAUAUAUAUAUAUAUAUAUAUGUAUAUGUAUGUAUGUAUAUACAUAUAUCGGUACAGGACAACACAUGUGCAUUUAUAUAUGCAUAUACAUAUAUAUGCAUAUGUAUAUAUAUGUAUAUGCAUAUACAUAUAUAUCCAUAUGUAUAUAUGCAUAUAGAUAUAUAUGAAUAUAUAUGAAUAUAUAUGCAUAUAUAUGUAUAUGCAUAUAUAUAUAUAUGCAUAUAAAUAUAUAUGCAUAUAUAUAUAUGCAUAUAUAUGUUUAUGCAUACAUAUGUAUGUGCAUAUAUAAAUGCAUAUAUAUAUGUGUAUUCGCAUAUAUAUAUGCAAAUAUAUAUAUAUGCACAUAUAUAUAUACAUACACAUAUAUAUAUGUAUAUAUACAUACACACAUAUACGCAUACACCGCAAAAGCAUAUAUUUCCAUUUUUUUUUGAGUAGGUUUCAUGUCUUUGUGCACAUGUGUGUGCACAUGCCUGUACAUGUGUUGGUGUCUGAGGUAAUAGCUUUCUUUUUUUUGACGACGAGGCAGCAUUUCCGAAUAGGUAUGUAGCCUCAAGUGAUUCGAAUAAUCACAAAAGCAUCCGCACCUGCACCAUCAAGUAAUUCCUAAUAGAUAUCAGUGCUAUACAGGUUUAAUUAAAACUUUGGCUUGCAACAGCUUACAACUGUCAAGGAGAUUUAAAGUAUGAGACACAAAAUAAUAAGAAGAAAUACGAAUUCUAAUGAAACUCGUAAAGAGAUCUCAGGCUAAGACGUUGGCAUCAAAGUGAAGUUGAGUCUUGUUAGGUUAUAAAGUAAUUUGAUAUUUUGAUAUGAAUACAUAUGCAUAUGUAUACAUAUGUGUGUUUUAGUAUGUAUAUAUGCAAAUAUAUAUAUAUAUAAACGCACGCACAUUUUAUAUAUAAUAUAUAGUCGCAGGAGUGGCUGUGUGGUAAGUAGCUUGCUAAUCAACCACAUGGUUCCGGGUUCAGUCCCACUGUGUGGCAUCUUGGGCAAGUGUCUUCUGCUAUAGCCCUGUGCCGACAAAUGCCUUGUGAGUGGAUUUGGUUGACGGAAACUGAAAGAAGCCUGUCGUAUAUAUAUAUAUAUAUAUAUAUAUAUAUGUGUGUGUGUGUCUGUGUUUGUCCCCCUAGUAUUGCUUGACAACCGAUGCUGGUGUGUUUACGUCCCCGUUACUUAGCGGUUUGGCAAAAAAAGAGACCAAUAGAAUAAGUACUGGGCUUUCAAAGAAUAAACCCCGGGGUUGAUUUGCUCGACUAAAGGCUGUGCUCCAGCAUGGCCGCAGUCAAAUGACUGAAACAAGUAAAAGAGUAAAGAGUAUAUAUAUAUAUAUAUAUAUAUAUUACUCUUUUACUCUUUUACUUGUUUCAGUCAUUUGACUGCAGCCAUGCUGGAGCACAGCCUUUAGUCGAGCGAAUCGACCCCUGGACUUAUUCUUUGUAAGCCUAGUACUUAUUCUAUUUGUCUCUUUUGCCAAACCGCUAAGUUAUAGGAACGCAAACACAUCAGCAUCAGUUGUCAAGCGAUGUUGGGAGGACAAACACAGACACACAAACACAUACACAUACAUAAGUGUAGGAGUGGCUGUGUGGUAAGUUGCUUGCUUACCAACCACAUGGUUCCAGGUUCUGUCCCACUGCGUGGCACCUUGGGUAAGUGUCUUCUACUAUAGCCUCGGGCCGACCAAAGUCUUGUGAGUGGAUUUGGUAGAUGGAAACUGAAAGAAGCCCAUCGUAUAUAUGUAUAUAUAUAUGUGUGUAUGUGUUUGUGUGUCUGUGUUUGUCCCUCCCCAACAUCAUUUGACAACCGAUGCUGGUGUGUUUACAUCUCCGUAACUUAGCGGUUCGGCAAAAGAGGCCGAUAGAAUAACUACUAGGCUUACAAAGAAUAAGUCCUGGGGUCGAUUUGCUCGACUAAAGGCGGUGCUCCAGCAUGGCCACAGUCAAAUGA
rnacentral:lncRNA from 1 species